rnacentral:rRNA from 1 species
UACAGAGGGGGCAAGCGUUGUUCGGAAUUACUGGGCGUAAAGGGCGCGUAGGCGGCCUGUUAAGUCGAACGUGAAAUCCCCGGGGCUCAACCCGGGAACUGCGUCCGAGACUGGCAGGCUCGAAUCCGGGAGAGGGAUGCGGAAUUCCAGGUGUAGCGGUGAAAUGCGUAGAUAUCUGGAGGAACACCGGUGGCGAAGGCGGCAUCCUGGACCAACACUGACACUGAUGAGCGAAAGCCAGGGGGAGCAAACAGG